rnacentral:lncRNA from 1 species
AUGAGAGUAGGUUAUUUGAUUUAAUAGUGGUCUCUUUGGAUCUCUAAAAAUCUUUGCAUGUGCAUUCAAAAAGUAAAUAGAAAUAGUAAAUGCCAGUUGAUUGAAAAUCAUGAUACUUUUGAGAUGAUACUAAAUUUUUACAAUAUGAUAUAAAUCAGAAUAGUGUAGACAGCCAAUUUACAUAAUUCAACCCCAGAAAAUUAACUACAUACAUUCACUAUGUAAUGACUUAAUUCACUUAAGUUGAGCCAAGUGUCAUAAAUUUGCAAUGAACAUUUUUACUUUUUAAAAAAUGAGCUAAUUUUAGAUUUGUCACAGAAAACUACUAUUCAUUGACAUCGCAAAUUGGAAUUAUUAACAGAAAAGCUCAUUUCAAAUAUGGAGAACAUAAGAGAGUGUAGUGAUUGGGAUGUGUUCUCAACAUCAAACUGUAAGAAGAAAAUUUAAUAGCCAGAACUUGAGAAAAAUAUAAUGGGCUACCCGAUGAAUCACUUGGCAGGAAUAUUAUCAAUGGAAUUAAAUAAUGGCCUACUGUCAGUUUAAUUCAAUCAUCUCUUUAGUUAGUAUAUCAAAUUUCAUUCGUAUAUUAUGAGAGGUGAUGCCAUCAUUUUAUCUGCCUGUCUCAUUCUGACUAUAGAAUUUGAGCAACUUCACCAUUCUUCGUUCUUGUUUUGAUGGUCAAAGUUGCUGAAUAAUUGCUUCUUUCCUCCUUUGUGUGUCUUAGGACAAAUACAGCACAAUCUCAGAGUUAACUUAACAUCCAAACUGUUAUUACAUUCUCUGUCCUCAGUUAGUUGGUAGAAUUAUAAUCAGUUAAAAACAGAUUUAAAAAAAAACAGCUUUUACUGAACAUGGAUAUAUAGCAGUGCUACUUUAUAAAAUAAUAGUGUGGCUAAUAUAAUGGCAUUUAUUUAAACAAUUAUUGAGAUUAUUUUUCUCAUCUCUCCUCAUUUUCUGACCUGAGAAAUACAGUUCCAAGUUCACGAGUGAAUGUAAAUGAAGAAACAGGGAAAGCAUUUUAGAAUUUCUUGAAAUCUGGCACCAGGACUGAUUGUACAUAUGUAUAUAUACACUCAUGCAUGUGUGUGCCUAUGUAUGUGUGCAUAUGUGUAUACGUAUGUGUGUAUGAAUAUAUGUAUUUAAUCAUCAUGGGCUGGUAUAUCUGGUUAGAACAAAGUACAAGUAAACCCCAAGUAAUGAGUAAGAUUCCCUCCAGAUCCAGCUAAUUAUUUGAACAUACCCUUUUCAUCACAGCACGUCACUGCUGCAAACAUUGGAAUGCUUUCCCAUGGUUUACUAAACAAAGUACAAAGCUGUCUGACAAUGCAGAUCACAGCAAAGAUCCAAGUGAUGCAUGCCCUUCGGCAGGAUCUUCCCCACCCUGGGUCUCAGUUUUAUCUUCUAGAAAAUACACGUUCAAGAGUGAGAUUUGCAGCUUCCUCCCUGCUCAGACCUCAUGAUUUUGACUGUGAAACCCAUUCAUAUAACUUCAUUAUUCUUAUUCCCAUGUGAGAAGGUAAGUCUAGUAUGAAUGUCAUUUUUGCCCAAACACUCCUGAGCAUUACAUAGACUUAAUUAACGUUUUGCUUCUUCAGAUGUUUUUUCUCAUGUGCAGGCUGUUUACUAAAGGGCCACACAGCAUGUUACCUUCAAUCCGUAGACAUUUCUGGGAGUCAGCUGCGUGCACUGCAGUUGAAGAUGAGAACUAUUGAAUGCUUACCCAGUGCCAGGCCUGUGUCUCCACGCCUCUCGCCUGUCCCCCCUUAGCACCCUAUGAGGUCGACACUGUGGUCACCCUCCCUUGGCAGGUGCAGAGCAGAGGUGAGGAGGGUAAUGACUUGGUUGGCCUGUCUGACUCGGAAGCGCUGUCUUGCUCACCUCCAGUGUGCUGGGACAGCAGCACAGGAACCACCUCAGAGGUGCUCUGGAGAGAGUGACCAGCACCCACCCUUCCAUGCUGCCAGGGGUUCUUCGAUGUGUCCAGUCUUCUCCUCCCAGCUGCGGGCCUCGAGCAUUUAUCUAAAUGUUUCGCCUCCUUCAGACCCUACCUUGCUUUCUCCUCUCCCACUGUGGGUGGGCUGGCCUCCUACCCCCUGAGAAAAUCAAGGACAGUGAGGAGGAGUGCUGUGGACUUCCCCUCUUUAUCUUCAUCAGCUGCACGGGCAGCUGUGCCUUCCUGCUUUGCCCUGGUCUCCUGGUUAUGAAAGCCAAAUCCCCCACGCAGCUGAGUCCCUUUCCCUCCUGCCUUCUUAUGCUCCUGCACUGUCCUCAACUCCUAUCUCUCUUUAUGUUCAGCUGACCCCCCUCAUCCCUACCCUUCGCUUCACACGCCAUUGACAUAGUUGAGCUCACUCCACCUCGAAAAGCCUCUCCCUGAACUCUGAAUAUUCUCUAGCACAUGUGUGUCCACCUCCAUUUGCAGACAGUCCUGUUCUGUGCAGUUUCUUGUUCCUGGCCUUUAGCCCUAGUGAGCCCCUCCUUCAGAUUUUCCUCUCUUAUUUGUCUAUCAAAACAUUCUUCCCCUCAUAACAGGUGCCCCUCCCUCAAUGAGUUCACCAGUGUCAAAACACCUCCCACACCUUGGAGUAACCAUAAGAUUACUUGCUUCUCUCUCCUACUGAACUUUUAGUGUUUUGAGGAUGGAGACCUUGCCAUAGCACGGUUCUACCUUCCAGCAGUACCAGGCACCUGGAGUCCUGGGCCAUAUUCAUUUCAUGCCCCUAUAGAUGCUGAUUAAAGGCCUUUCCCUUCCCAAUCCCCUGCUAAACUCCAACACAUUCUUGCAGACCCAGGUCAAGUCUCUUCUAUGUACCUUCUGAAAACCUACUCAGUGGAAAUCCUUACUAUUAUUACUAACAUCACUUUUUGCACUAUUUGUCCUCUUGAUCUUUCUCUUAGUGGUUUGUGAAGUUUUUAUAUAUUGCUGUUUUUAUGUCUCCAGGACCUGAAACUGUACUAGGUACAUGGUAGGCACUCAACAAAUAUUUAUUGAAUGAAUGGAUCAAUCAACCAAUCAAACUAUGCAAAAUAAAGAGCAUAAGACUGUGAGAGAGGAGACGAAAGCCUGGCUGGGAGGGAAAGGCCAUAAGGAGUAAUAAGAUAGGAAAGUGUUAGGGUGUGUGGGAGAUCACAAAACAGUAUUUUCAGCGGUCUCCGUUGAGAGUUGACAUCUGCUUUUCCACCCCUCGAAUCUAGGUUUGGCCUUGCAACAGAUGGACCAACAGAACACUAGGAAACACGAUUCAAGUAGCAUCUUGAAAUGUGAUCCUGCAUUGGGGGUCCCCUCUCUUCACUGCACCCGGAACUUCCUCCAAGAAACAGUGGUCUGUGUGGGCACAAAUGAGCUACAGCACGUAUAAGUCAAUGGGAAGAAAGGAAAUGCUCACUAUGCUAGAAGUGACAGUAGAAACUUCCAUUGUGUGUGACUGGAGAGGCACAAAUGAAGGGCAUCUCCCAAACAGGCUUCAUCUUUUGGGAGUGUGAGAGGAGUGACAGUUUAAGGAGGCUUCACAGGCGUCCAUACAACCACAGGAUGAACAGCCUUUUAGAAGUUACUGUUGCCCUUCCAGGAAGACAAGUUUCAUUGCCUGGUACAUAAAUUGAGUUAAACUUGAAGGAUAUUUUUAUGUAAAAGGAAGGGCAAAUAUAUACAAAGAUGACAUUCACAAAUACAUUUUCUGUAAAAAUAGGACAAAAGAGUAAUAUACAAUUAAGACAUUGUCAAACUUUUUUUUCUAAAAUCAAAAUUUUAUACCAGUUUUUUUCCCUUUAAACUAGGAACCUAUACUAUUUCAAAGUGUUAAAACACAUUUAUAACAUUUUCAGAAAACUACAUUUAGGGAAUGUUAAAAAUAUACAUUAGAGGCUGGGCACGAUGGCUCAUGCCUGUAAUCCCGGCAAUUUGGGAGGCCAAGGCAGGUGGAUCGUCUGAGGUAAGGAGUUCGAGACUAGCCUGGCCAACAUGGCAAAACCCCAUUUCUACUAAAAAUACAAAAAUUAGCCUGGCAUAGUGGCUCACAGCUGUAGUCCCAGCUACUUGGGAGGCUGAGGCAGGAGAAUCGCUUGAACCCGGAAGGUGGAGGUUGCAGUGAGCCGAGAUUGCACCACUGCACUCCAGCCUGGGCGACAGAGCGAGACCCUGUCUCAAACAACAACAACAAAAAGGCGUUAGAACCCUGUGGCUUCCAAUGUCCAUUGCAGGAGCUGUGGCCGCCAUGUUCUUCUGGCAUAGCUGGUUACCUUGG